UACAGAGGUGGCAAGCGUUGCUCGGUAUCACUGGGCUUAAAGGGCGCGUAGGCGGUGCGGUACGGUUUCGGUGAAAUCCCUCGGCCCAACCGAGGAACAGCCGGGGCUACGGCCGCGCUAGACGGCAUCAGGGGACAGUGGAACUUCCGGUGGAGCGGUGAAAUGCGUAGAUAUCGGAAGGAACGCCGGUGGCGAAAGCGACUGUCUGGGGUGCCUGUGACGCUGAGGCGCGAAAGCCAGGGUAGCGAACGGG
rnacentral:rRNA from 1 species